UCAAGAAUAGCUAGUAAGUGGCACAAUAGUUUGACAACCGGGGUGAGAAAAACAUCAUCAUCCCUCUUCCCUCACCCCUCCUCCCUCACCCCUCCUCCCUCACCCCUCAUUCCCCUUCCCUCACCCCUCCUCCCUCAUCCCUCACCCCUCCUCCCUCACCCUCCUCCCUCAUCUUUCACCCCUCACCCCUCAUCCCUCACCCCACUCCCUCAAACCUCCUCCCUCAUCCCUCAUCUCUCCUCCCUCAUCCCUCACCCCUCCUCCCUCAAACCUCAUCCCUCACCCCUCCUCCCUCACCCCUCCUCCCUCAUCCCUCAAACCUCACCCCUCAACUCUCACCCCUCAACUCUCACCCCUGAAAUCUCUCACCCCUCAUCCCUCACCCCUUCUCCCUUCUCCCUCAACUUUCACCCCUCACCCCUCACCCCUAAUCCCUCACCCCUCCUCCCUCAAACCUCAUCCCUCACCCCUCCUCCCUCAAACCUCAUCCCUCGUCUCUCACCCCUCCUCCCUCAUCCCUCACCCCUCCUCCCUCACCCCUCAUCCCUCAAACCUCAACUCUCACCCCUCAACUCUCACCCCUCAUCCCUCAACUCUCACCCCUCCUCCCUCAAACCUCACCCCUCACCCCUCCUCCCUCAUCCCUCAACUCUCACCCCUCCUCCCUCACCCUUCCUCCCUCAAACCUCACCUCUCCUCCCUCAAACCUCCUCCCUCAUUCCUCAAAACUCAUCCCUCACCCUUCUCCCUCAAAUCUCCUCCCUCAACUCUCACCCCUCAUCCCUCACCCCUCCUCCCUCAAACCUCAUCCCUCACCCCUCCUCCCUCAACUCUCACCCCUCAUCCCUCACCCCUCAAACCUCAUCCCUCAACUUUCACCCCUCAUCCCUCAUUCCUCACCUCUCCUCCCUCAAUCCUCAUCCCUCAACUCUCACCCCUCAUCCCUCAUUCCUCAUCCCUCAACCCUCAUCCCAAGUGGGCUUUAGCUGUUUAAAUCCCAGUAGGACAGUUGGAAAUGCAUGUACCCUGCUUUUAGCGUGUUAA
rnacentral:lncRNA from 8 species